UACUCUGGGUGCUCAUCGCUGGAGGGUGGGAGCCCGGAGUCCUGCUCACAGCCAAGUGUCCUUGCGGUCUGGAGACCCAUAGAAUCGACCUGAAGAAUCUCAUUCUCAGCUCCCCAGGGAGCCCCCAGCCCGCCCCGGUUCCGGAGGCUGCUCUGCUUCCCAGGAGGAAGAGCCCAGUGACCUGAUUUCACCCAAGGCCCAAGGAGGGGCCCGGCAGGGCAAGGAAAGCUUGGGGGAGCUGGAUUGGGUGCCGGGUGCAGGGCUGCAGGCUGGACUCUGCUAGGACAGCCACCAGCAGCGGGCACAGCUGAGCCCAUGCCUGCUUGAAACCAGCCAGGGCAGGUGGCAAAGGGCAGGCUGCACCCUCAGCCUGGAACCUCGCCCAGGGAACCGGGAGAUGCCUCACAGGAGUGACUCGCACCUGCCCCUCUGGGACUCCCUGGACCCCACCCUGCUGGGGCGGCUGCAUCACACACAGGCCCCUUCUGCAGCA
rnacentral:lncRNA from 10 species